rnacentral:rRNA from 1 species
UACGGAGGGUGCAAGCGUUAUCCGGAUUCACUGGGUUUAAAGGGUGUGUAGGCGGGCAGUUAAGUCAGUGGUGAAAUCUCCGGGCUCAACCCGGAAACUGCCAUUGAUACUGAAGAUCUUGAGUUCGGGAGAGGUGAGUGGAGCUGCGAGUGUAGAGGUGAAAUUCGUAGAUAUUCGCAAGAACACCAGUGGCGAAGGCGGCUCACUGGCCCGAUACUGACGCUGAGGCACGAAAGCGUGGGGAGCAAACAGG